UGCCAGCCGCCGCGGUAAUACGGAGGUUGCAAGCGUUAAUCGGAAUUACUGGGCGUAAAGCGCUCGUAGGCGGUUUGUUAAGUCGGAUGUGAAAGCCCUGGGCUCAACCUGGGAACUGCAUUCGAUACUGGCAAACUAGAGUAUAGUAGAGGCAAGUGGAAUUCCGGGUGUAGCGGUGAAAUGCGUAGAUAUCCGGAGGAACAUCAGUGGCGAAGGCGACUUGCUGGACUAAUACUGACGCUGAGGAGCGAGAGCGUUGGGAGCGAACGGGAUUAGAUA
rnacentral:rRNA from 1 species